CAAUAGCGUAUAUUAAAGUUGUUGCAGUUAAAAAGCUCGUAGUUGAAUUUCUGGUCAAUCGUAGUCUUGGCUUCGGUCGGGCUAUGGUUGAUCAUCCGUUUGCAAGCUGCACUCGGCCUUCACUGGUUCGGUGUAGUGAGCUGACAUUUUACUUUGAAAAAUUAGAGUGUUUAAAGCAGGCAAUCGCUGUGAAUACAUUAGCAUGGAAUAAUAAGAUAGGACUUUGGUGCUAUUUUGUUGGUUUGCACACCAAGAUAAUGAUUAACAGGGACAGUUGGGGGUAUUCGUAUUUAGAUGUCAGAGGUGAAAUUCUUGGAUUUUCGAAAGACGAACUUCUGCGAAAGCAUUUACCAAGGAUGUUUUCAUUAAUCAAGAACGAAAGUUAGGGGAUCAAAGACGAUUAGAUACCGU
rnacentral:rRNA from 1 species